CCCUCCCCUUCAGGCCUCAGCUCCUCUCUGAAGAUGCUCCAAUCGUGGCAUUCUUGAGAAAUCUCGUCUCCAUAUCCUGAUAUCGCCCUGAUGGCACUCAUAGUGCGUUCCGGUUCUUGCCCCUAUCACUUUCACGCCUCUCAGAGUCCUCUCCUCUCCAGGCCCUCCUUCUCUCUGCCCCUCCCUCGAAGAAGAACACGCUGCCGCCGUAGAAUCGCUGUUCGAGCUUCCUCCUCUGAUGGAUCGGAUGAUUUCUCAUGGAGAAAGUUUUCUCUUUCAGUGCAGCGCGGUUCCGAGCGUGCGCUUUCAAAUUUGAGAGAAAUUCUCAAAAAGGAAACUGGGUUUGAUGUGGAGGGUGUUGGUCAGCAGUCCACAAAGGUGUUCAACAUUGUGCAGGACGUUGCAAGAAAGAGUGGAGAUGCUCUAGUCCGAUUUCGGAUGGGAAAGGUUCCUUCUUUGGUCGAUUGGAACAAGUGGGAAAAUUGGAAGGACAUUCAAAAGUGGGAACCUAAUCGUAUUUGGGUAUUGCUUUUGUAUAUCAGUAUUGUGGCUAUUUUUUGUCAAAGAAUCUUUGGAACCAUUAGAAGUCAUCUAUACCAACGAAGUAAGAAGGAAUUGACUGAGGCGUACAUGGAAGCAUUGAUACCUGAGCCUUCUAGAGCAAAUAUUAGGAAGUUCAAGAAAAGCAUAUGGAGGAAGAAAUUGCCAAAAGGAUUGAUUGUUAAGAAGUUCAUUGAAGGACCUGGGGGAACACUUGUUCAAGAUAAAGCUUAUGUUGGAGAAGAUGCAUGGGAGGAUGAUCCAGAACCUUCUUUCCAAGUUACUAGUAGAAUUGAUAAAGAUGCAAUGUUAAGCCUUGAAGAGAAGAAAGAAUUGAAGGAGACAUUGGGCAUUACAGAUCCUACUGAUAAGAUUUUAGAUGACAGAGAAAAUGGAAUGAAGUGGAGAGAACGGCUAGCAGCAUGGAAAGAAAUUCUCAGCAAUGACAAUCUGGCUGAGAAUAUUGACUCCAUGAAAGCUAAGUACGUAGUUGAUUUUGACAUGCAAGAAGUGGAGAAAAGCUUGCGUGAACAAGUUAUGAAUAAAGCACCAGAUACGCUAUCUAAUAGGGCACUAUGGAUAUCAAAAAGAUGGUGGCGUUAUCGUCCUAAACUGCCCUAUACAUAUUUUCUUAACAAACUCAAUUCUUCAGAGGUUGCUGCUGUAGUGUUUUCUGAGGACCUAAAAAAGCUAUAUGUUACAAUGAAAGAAGGCUUUCCUUUGGAAUAUAUUGUGGAUAUUCCUCUUGAUCCUUAUUUGUUUGAGGUAGUCUCAAGUUCAGGUGUUGAAGUGGACCUUCUUCAAAAGCGGCAGAUGCACUAUUUCUUGAAAGUGGUGGUUGCAUUGGCGCCGGGUUUACUUAUUUUGUGGCUUAUUAAAGAAUCUGUAAUCCUUUUGAAUAUAACAUCUCAACGCUACCUAUAUAAAAGAUAUAAUCAACUUUUUGACAUGGCUUAUGCGGAGAAUUUUAUCCUGCCAGAGGAACACACUGAAGAAUCCAAGUCUAUGCUUAAGGAAGUUGUAUUAGGGGGUGAUGUUUGGGACCUUCUUGAUGAGAUUAUGAUAUAUAUGAAUAAUCCCAUGCAGUAUUAUGAAAAGCAAGUGCAAUUUGUUCGGGGUAUACUUCUCUCUGGACCACCUGGGACAGGCAAAACUCUUUUUGCCAGGACACUUGCAAAGCAAAGCGGUUUGCCAUUUGUUUUUGCAUCUGGUGCUGAAUUUACUGAUAGUGAAAAAAGUGGGGCAGCAAGAAUCAAUCAAAUAUUUUCCAUUGCCAGAAGAAAUGCUCCUUCUUUUGUGUUUGUGGAUGAAAUUGACGCUAUAGCUGGCAGACAUGCAAGGAAGGAUCCUCGGAGACGAGCAACAUUUGAGGCUUUACUCACUCAGCUCGAUGGAGAGAAGGAGAAAACUGGUGUUGAUCGUUUCUCUCUUAGGCAAGCUGUAAUAUUCUUAUGUGCCACUAACCGGCCAGAUGAAUUGGACCCUUCAUUUGUCCAGCCAGGACGCAUUGAUCGACGCCUAUACAUUGGUUUACCUGAUGCCAAACAACGGGUGCAAAUAUUUGGUGUGCAUAGUGUAGGGAAGAAAUUUUCAGAUGACGUAGAUUUUGAAAAGCUUGUUUUUCGCACUGUUGGUUAUUCUGGAGCUGAUAUUCGAAAUCUUGUCAAUGAAGCGGCAAUAAUGUCUGUACGGAAAGGUCAUUCCAUGAUAACGCAAAAAGACAUCAUUGAUGUAUUAGAUAAACAGUUGCUCGAGGGUAUGGGUGUACUGCUCACUGAAGAAGAACAAUUGAAGUGUGAAGAAAGUGUUUCCAUUGAAACAAAGAGAUUACUAGCAGUACAUGAGGCUGGCCAUAUAUUAUUAGCCCAUUUGUUCACUCGAUUUGAUUGGCAUGCAUUUUCGCAGUUGCUUCCUGGUGGCAAGGAGACUGCUAUUUCUGUAUUUUAUCCAAGGGAGGACAUGGUAGACCAAGGGUAUACUACAUUUGGUUAUAUGAAAAUGCAAAUGGUUGUUGCACACGGAGGACGCUGUGCUGAAAGGAUUCUGUUUGGUGAUGAUAUUAGUGAUGGAGGUAGAGAUGAUCUGGAGAAAAUAACCAAAAUUGCUAGAGAAAUGGUAAUUAGCCCAAGAAAUUCAAGAUUAGGCCUUACAACCUUGGUAAGAAGAGUUGGAAUGAUGGACCGACCUGAUAGUUCUGAUGGAGAGUUGAUCAAGUAUAAGUGGGACGACCCUUAUGUGAUUCCUGCUGAUAUGACUGUUGAAGUUUCUGAACUCUUUAGUCGGGAACUUACGAGGUACAUUGAUGAGACUGAAGAAAUUGCUAUGAAUGGCUUGAUGCAAAACAAGCAUAUCUUGCACAUGCUUGCCGAAGAACUUGUAGAAAAAUCAAGGGUUACUGGAUUGGAAGUAGAGGAGAGAAUGAAGCAGUAUUCUCCUGUGAUGCUUGAGGAUCUUGCAGUGCCUUUUCAAGUAAACAUUGAAGAGGAGGGGCCAUUGCCUGUUAAUGAUCACUUGAGUUAUCAACCACUUGAUGUGUAUCCUGCACAGCUUCAUCGGUGUUGAGUAUUCACUAUCAAUUCAGGUGUUGUGCGUCAGGAAAUGGAGUACUUCACAUAGACCUUUUUAUUGAGCAUCAGAGUGUUUCCAAAUACAAUUUUCUUUAUGUAAUUCCUAACUGGGAUUUCAAUAGGAAGUGACUUAAUCUUCAUCAGAUGUCAGAUUUUGAUUUUUCGUUUAAUGUUGGCAUUGCAUGAGUAUUUCAUGCACUACGUUGGUGUGGUUUCCAUGUCUGCAAAUUCUUCAAUGUGGAGAACAUUGCCAGUUAAUGAUUGCUAACUACUUGGUUUUUGAGAAGAUCAAAAGUUAAGGAAACAUCCCGCCUACGAGUUCCUUUUGAAUCUUGCAAGGUAGCUGUUCAUCUCAUUGUUGCUAUUUUCUUUCGACUAAUGUUUUUGGAGGUCCGGCUGUAUCGGGAACUCGAGCAAAUAACUCUUGUUUCAAAUGCUGUUAUUUGUUGUGGUUUUAUCUUGGUUCGGCAUCAGUACCUUGUGGAUAUAAGGUCUGAGCAUUUGCUUUUGUCAUGAAACAAACAUUAAUUCAUUACUGACCUUAUUUCAAAUGUUGCUGAAGUUGGGAUUAUAAUCAUUCAUAUCUUGAAACCAAGUUUGUAUACUUUUCAUGUGGGAUUUAUUUACAUUA